UAGGGAAUCUUCGGCAAUGGGGGGAACCCUGACCGAGCAACGCCGCGUGAGUGAAGAAGGUUUUCGGAUCGUAAAGCUCUGUUGUUAAGGAAGAACGAGUGUGAGAAUGGAAAGUUCAUGCUGUGACGGUACUUAACCAGAAAGGGACGGCUAACUACGUGCCAGCAGCCGCGGUAAUACGUAGGUCCCGAGCGUUGUCCGGAUUUAUUGGGCGUAAAGCGAGCGCAGGCGGUUAGAAAAGUCUGAAGUAAAAGGCAGUGGCUCAACCAUUGUAGGCUUUGGAAACUGUUUAACUUGAGUGCAGAAGGGGAGAGUGGAAUUCCAUGUGUAGCGGUGAAAUGCGUAGAUAUAUGGAGGAACACCGGUGGCGAAAGCGGCUCUCUGGUCUGUAACUGACGCUGAGGCUCGAAAGCGUGGGGAGCGAACAGG
rnacentral:rRNA from 1 species